rnacentral:lncRNA from 1 species
GACAAACAUUCAAUCCUAUCCCACCCCGACCACCGCCACCACCUCCAACAUCUCCACCACCGCUACCAACAUCACAACCAUACCGGCCAAACAUCACCAAGACCAUACCAUAGCCACUGCCACAACCGCCCAAUCCGAUUUCAUCUCUCAGAUCACCGUCAAUUUCGUCGCUUUAGCAGAUCCCAGAUCUUGACGACACCACCACAAAAUUGAUCCAAAACCACCAUCACUAUCCACCACGUCGCCACCGUCUGCACCGCAUCCACAAAAAAAAAUCAACUACAACAACCAACGCACCUCACGCCACCGCCGCUACACACACACACCACACCCACGCACACACAGAUGUUGCAGUAGCGAUCGUGACGCUGCUGCGAAUGACAGCGUCGAUUAACAGCAUCGUCGCGACGCUAAAGUUCGCAGCAGCAUUGGUCGGUGACGCUGCAGUGACGCUCGACAGCCUCCAUUCCAGCAACGCAAGUCGAAGCAGCUCCUCCAUCCUCCAUCAUCGGCGGUUUUGAGAGAGAAGAUAUGGGAAAUGAAGAGAGAGAAGGAACUCUUCCAUCCUCCGUUGUCGGCGAUUCUGAGAGAGAAGACAUGGGCAUGAAGAGAGAGAAUGAAAUUCAAAUCAGAUUAGGGUUUGGAAUAUUAAUGGAUUGAAAGAAUUCAUUUUUUUGAAAUGUUAAAACAUUGGCCUACUUUCAGAAAUGUGGAUUUUUAAUGUGGGUUUUGUGUAAUUUCCUCAAAAACAUAACUAGGAGAGCCUGCUAAUAGGUUAGCAGCAAAAUAUUCAUGUAUAAGCAGAAUUUCAGCAAAUACUAGUUUGAAUGUGAUUCCAAUAUCUCCGAUUAUCUAUACCCAUAAUCACCAUCAUCUUUGAAGAAAUCGACAAACAUGUCCCUCUUGUUCUCUUGUCAAUCCGAAAUUCAUAUUCCAACAAAUAAACCAAAAAAAAUAAAUAAAAAUAAAAAUUAGACAAUUAAAUUUCAC